UACACUUUGCCACACUCUGGACUCUGCCCACUUCUCCUGUGGCCUUGUCCAAUUUUCAGUGCAAAGAAGAUUGACUUUUUGUGUCCUACUACUCACCGGCAUGUCUCUUCUCUUUCGAGAGCGUGGGCAUCUCGGUCCAUGUUUAAGGUCAACAA
rnacentral:snoRNA from 1 species